rnacentral:rRNA from 1 species
UUGCUCUCUGAUUAGCGGCGGACGGGUGAGUAAUGCCUAGGAAUCUGCCUGGUAGUGGGGGACAACGUUUCGAAAGGAACGCUAAUACCGCAUACGUCCUACGGGAGAAAGCAGGGGACCUUCGGGCCUUGCGCUAUCAGAUGAGCCUAGGUCGGAUUAGCUAGUUGGUGAGGUAAUGGCUCACCAAGGCGACGAUCCGUAACUGGUCUGAGAGGAUGAUCAGUCACACUGGAACUGAGACACGGUCCAGACUCCUACGGGAGGCAGCAGUGGGGAAUAUUGGACAAUGGGCGAAAGCCUGAUCCAGCCAUGCCGCGUGUGUGAAGAAGGUCUUCGGAUUGUAAAGCACUUUAAGUUGGGAGGAAGGGCAGUAAGUUAAUACCUUGCUGUUUUGACGUUACCGACAGAAUAAGCACCGGCUAACUCUGUGCCAGCAGCCGCGGUAAUACAGAGGGUGCAAGCGUUAAUCGGAAUUACUGGGCGUAAAGCGCGCGUAGGUGGUUCGUUAAGUUGGAUGUGAAAUCCCCGGGCUCAACCUGGGAACUGCAUCCAAAACUGGCGAGCUAGAGUAUGGUAGAGGGUGGUGGAAUUUCCUGUGUAGCGGUGAAAUGCGUAGAUAUAGGAAGGAACACCAGUGGCGAAGGCGACCACCUGGACUGAUACUGACAC